CUACGGGAGGCUGCAGUCGAGAAUCUUCCGCAAUGGGCGCAAGCCUGACGGAGCAAUGCCGCGUGAGGGAUGACGGCCCUAGGGUUGUAAACCUCUGUCAGAAGGGACGAAGAACGUGACGGUACCUUCAGAGGAAGCCAUGGCUAACUACGUGCCAGCGAGCCGCGGUAAUACGUAGAUGGCGAGCGUUAUUCGGAUUUACUGGGCGUAAAGGGUCCGUAGGGGGUCUGCCAAGUCUGAUGUGAAAUCCUGCGGCUCAACCGCGGAACUGCAUUGGAAACUGGCGGACUAGAGUGUGCGAGGGGUGAGCGGAAUUCCUGGUGUAGCGGUGGAAUGCGUAGAUAUCAGGAAGAACACCGAUGGCGAAGGCGGCUCACUGGCGCAUCACUGACCCUGAGGGACGAAAGCGUGGGUAGCAAACAGGAUUAGAUACCCUCGUAGUC
rnacentral:rRNA from 1 species